rnacentral:antisense_RNA from 2 species
GGUGGGAGCGAGCCUGCUCGCGAAGACGUCAUCUGUCUCAACAGAGAAGGUGCGCCUGCUAUUGCAUUCGCGAGCAGGCUCGCUCCCACA